AUUUGGAAGGAAUCCACAGCUUUUUUCUGUUGAAACAAACAUAAAACCUCUCCCCCAGAAUAACAUAGUUCCUUCCUUCCUUUGUGAAGUUAUAAUAUCCUUAAUAUAAGCGGGCUGAUUUAGUUCAGCAAGUUUUUUUUUUUAAAUCCAUUGUCUAUCAGCAGCUGCGUUAUCUAUCUCAUUGACAUUUUAAAAUUUUAAAGUCAAUAAAGCAUUACUUAAUCUAUCUCUGGGAGAUCUAAUAUCCCCUUUCUGUUCUAUGAUCAUUUCCUUUAAAGUUCCUGUUAUAUCUCUCCAUAAUUGCGUGACCUAGCAAUUAUGGGGAUUGUAAGAUAUAUGUGUCACAUGUUGUAUUCUAAUGGAUACAUGUAUUGAAGCAUCAUGAGUUCAACCUGUGAAGGCAUUUUAAAGAUAGCCACAGUCUCUAAUAAAUAUGCAAUCUUGGAACCAUAUUUAAGGCAGAAUCCCAUUGGAAUUUUGAAUAUUUAUCAACAGUAUGGUGUAUCAACAUGUAUGCACAUAUCUUAAUUCUCCAAACUCUACAAAGUGAAACAUAUAAACUAUUGUAUGACAUCUCUCUAAGGUAGAAUUAAAUAUAAUUUGUAUCCUAAUUUCAAUAUAUUGCAUCUCUCUGGAUUACAAUUCUAUUUCCUUAAGCCCUUGUGGAUUUUCUCAUAUGGAACUACCAUUUUUUGCUGUUAUUGUAGAUUCCCCCAUUUGAUUCUUCGAAAGGUUCUUUAUUCUGAUUUAAAGAAUUCUCUAACCUCUGUUCGUUGGCCUCAGAUCUAACAUUCUUUCAGUCUUCUCUUUCUCUAAGUCUGUUUUAUUCUGAUCUCUUUUAAAAGGAUAUAUAAAAUUGUAAUUGUUAUUGAAAAGUAAUUAUCUGUAUGCUGAUAAGUGAAACAAAAUUAUACAGGGUCCAAGUGCCUUCUUUUAUCAUUUUUUCCAAUGUUUUAACAUAGAAAAUAUUUUCUUUUUAAUCUCUAACUCUCUCCUUAAUGAGUUAACUUUGUUAUUUUCAAAAUAAAUAUUUCUGCCUAUGAUUUUUUGUACAGUUUCUUAUUUUUUCUUUUUUUUAUUAGAUAUUUUCUUUAUUUACAUUUCAAAUGCUAUCCUGAAAGUUCCCUGUACCCUCCUCCCACUCUGCUCCCCUACCCACCCACUCCCACUUCUUGGCCCUGGCAUUCCCCUGCACUGGAGCAUAUAAAGUUUGCAAGACCAAGGGGCCUCUCUUCCCAAUGAUGGCCAACUAGGCCAUCUUCUGCUACAUAUGCAGCUAGAGACACGAGUUCUGGGGGUACUGGUUAGUUCAUGUUGUUGUUCCACCUAUAGGGUUGCAGACCCUUUCAGCUCCUUGGGUACUUUCUCUAGUUCCUCCACUGGGGGCCUUGUGUUCCAUCCAAGAAAUGAUUGUGAGCGUUCACUUCUGUAUUUGCCAGGCACUGGCAUAGCCUCACACAAGACAGCUAUAUCAGGGUCCUUUCAGUGAAAUCUUGCUGGCAUAUGCAAUAGUAGCAUAUUGUACAUAUUCUGAGAUGUUUCUCAAUCCGGGCCUGGCUACUGAUGUUUGCCACCAUUCUCUGCCGAGCUGUUCAGGCUAAGCCUUAAUGGGCCAAGCCUCCAACUAUGACCUACCAUACAAGCAGAGAUGGUUCCACAAUACUGUGAGCCAUCUGAAGGCUUCUCCGUGGUAUCUGCCAGCUGCUAUUGCAGUGUCUGGCCCAGGAAACGGUGGAUCCUGCCUGUCAUUAGUGAACUUGUCCCAGAGACUGUUGUGCUGGUCUCCAGCACUUGCUCGCUGAGCCAGCUGUUCACAGGCCUUCGACGAUCCAUCAGUGGGUCCCCAGCCUUACUGUAGGGCUCUAAAGGAACUGCAUUAGGCCUCUCUGAGGUUUCCUACUCCCACAGUUUGCGGGGUCCCAUGGCCAGAAGGAUUUCAGCUGUUCAGCUCACAGAGCAGAGUGCUAAACUGUCCUUCCAAGUGGUUUCUCAGGCUCCAAGCCUGGAUUGUAGCAACACAUUCAGUACACCAUUUGUAACUGCUGGCUUUCCCACCUGGCCUUUUCCCUUAAACAAGGACUCUGAGACUUCAUAUGCCUAGGUCAAUAGCUGUGGCUCAUUCCCGCUAGUUCAUACCUCAGUUUUCCCGUUUAAACUAGUCUAAGUCAUGCCACAUGGACAGUGACCCCUCGUCAAGUUUAUGCAUCUGUGUCCAUCAGCGCUCGGGUGAAUCUUUCGCACCUGAUUAUAUUUCUCAGAAUCCUAUCUCUGUCUGCUGGAUGUCCCACCAUCUAAUCCUGCCUCAGCUCAUUGGCUAUAGGCAGUUUAUUGACAGGUGAUGCUUCCAUACAGUACAAGAGAUUCUCUCUAAACCUUUGACAUCCAGUUAAGC
rnacentral:lncRNA from 1 species